rnacentral:lncRNA from 1 species
GGCCUCGGGUCCGUGAGCCACGCCAUCCGGGGGGGACGGCGAGUGCGGGCAGAGCGGGCCUGGGGUCCGUUGGGGGCCAGGCGAGCUGUCCGUUUUCCUAUUCACUUUCCCAGCCGGGUAUCCAGCGAGCACGGAAGGCAGGCACCCAGGCGAAAGGCGCCGCCCAGGAUCCGGCUGGACAGCAGGAUCGAGAGCGGCGCGGCGAGCGCUGCCCGGGGUUCGGGACCGAGAGGGCAGGCGAGCGAGGGGCAACCCCGACCCGGCCCCCCGAGCUCCCGUGUCCGACCCCGCGCGGGGGCCACGCGACGGCCGCCCCCUUGCCCAGAACUGGCACGGGCGGGCGGACCGACCCGGGGCCACUCCACAACUUGCCGGCCCGCCGCCCCGGCCCCCAGCGAGAACCCGGGGAGACUCGAACCAGGCAGCAGAGGCAGGAUUUGCCCGGAAACGCGCCCUCCCCGCCGCCCCGUGCGCGCCCGCGGCCGGCCGCGCUGCCCCCGCCGCCCCGACGCCCCCGCGGCCCUGCCAGCCAAGCCAGCGCCGACGCGGGCCGCGCUACGGGGCCGUUUCCGGCAGCGCCGGCGGCCGCUACUCUGGGCGCCCUGGCCGCGGCCGUCACUCACCCCAGGCCGCCGCGGCUCCCAGCCUCCGGCUCCGUCAGGCUCGGUCCGCGAAGGCGCCUGCCGCCCCGUCCUGGCCCGGCACCCCGGCGAGCUCUUCCCUCCGACCAGCGGCGCUCCCGGCGCAGCGGCGGACGCGAGGCCACGGGUGGACGGGCGCGCGCGGGUGGCGGGCGGGCGUGGGGCCGGAUCGUCCCUGCGCCUCGCCGCCGCCUCCUCCGCCGCGGCCUCCCGAGUUCGGGGCUCUGCUGCAAUGUCUGCGAGGCUGACUUUGAGCGCCUCGCUCGCCGCCCGCCCGCCCGCAGCCGCGCUCCUCCCUCCGCCGCCGAGUCCGCCGCGGCCCAGUCCCUCCCCUCGCCGCCCCACGCCAUUCAGCUCUUCAGCCAAGUUUCUUAACCCUUUUCUCCCCCUCCCUCCCAUUGUCAGCCGGUCAGGAGGAAGCCGUGCGGGUCCGGGCCGCUCGCGGGAGCUGCGGAGCCCCCUAUGGUUUUGAACCACGGAGAUUGCCCAGCAAGCCAAGAAUUUUCCAGCCCUCCAACACUGGUGUUAAAAAGUCCACUGCUAUAUGCUAGAUGACUUCCCAAAGCUGUUCACUUAUUAUUAUUCUGUUUUCUCAACCCCACAAAAAUCCAGUCACUGAAAUCCUGAACUCUUUUGAUAGUGGCAUGAGUGUUAAGUAAAUUGCACACCUCUUGUGGAAUUCAUUUUCACUUAAUCAUGCCAAUUAUG